GGAAGAGGAACCCGGCCCCACAGGCAGACUCAACUCUGGGCCCUGCCUCUCUGCAUUUCAAGCCCCGGCCCUCUGGCAGCCGAAGGCCCACGGGGCCACACUGGUGCCCCUCCCCCAGAACACAUGACUCAGCCCUGCGCUGAGGCUGCCCCGCGUCAUGUGACCACCCCGAGUGCUCAACUCCCAACUGUCAGAAGCCAGGACAUUCCAUGACAGUUGCACUGAGAGCUGGCAGCAGCUUCAACGGACCAGAGCUGGGGGAUGCGCCGCCAGGAGUCACAGCCGAAGUGUGGCCUGCAGGCUGGUGCUCAGUGCCUCAGGCCAGCCCUGAGCCCCCAGUGUCUCAUUCACCAAAGAGCUGAGUAGCCGGAUGAGGGCCCGGCUGAGUACGGGCAGUGGCCACACCAGCCCCAAGCACACGCCUUUGCUGGACCCCGGUCCCUGGUGUGCAAACUACAGCUGCCCUCAAGAGUCCACUUCCAGGCUCCACUGCCCUGGGGCCGGCAGAGGCGUCGCGGGCAGGGAGGGUAUUUUCGACUCCCCCUUGGUGUGGAGCUGGACACUGUGUCCAUCUGCCGAGGUCCUGGGCACUGGAUUUCCUUGACCAGAUCAUUUUCCCCGCAUCUUCUGAAUUUGGUCUUUUUUGUGCAUCCUUGAGCCGUGAUCCUGGAAAAUACAUGGAAAACAGCAUUCUGACAUGGGACAGCCUCGGGCCACGGCAAGGUGUCAGUCACCGCUCCACUCCCAGCUCCGGCUUCUGCUCUCUUGCUCACCCACUGCCUCAAAUGCGGGCUUACUGGGGGGAUGCUGGGGCGCGGUGCACACAGGAUGCCAACAGGAAGCUUGUGGGGGACACACUCUAUGAACACCACAAGACGGCAGCCAAGCAGGGACCGGGAGCCUGGGCUUGGAUCUCACACGAAACCACGAGAACUUGGGGAAGUUCCUGUGCUGGGCCAGGAGACCGUCAGGAGCGCCUGCUGCUCCGUGCUGGACUGAGGAGAUGAAUGGCCGCAAAUGCACAGGAGAGCUGCAGGGAGAGGCCUGGUACUUCCUGAGCCUCGUGCGGCCUCACUCACACAUGCACUUGGUGUCUGUGGGAGGGCGCCAGGCGGUGUGGCCUGCAGAAGGCCACCUGGGAGGUGACUUUUCCAGCCUUGGCCAUGGGUGUGAGGCUUCACAGCUCAGAGUCUCUGGUCUCAUCUCCUGGGAGCCCCAUGUCAGUCCUUGGGGUGGACAGAGCAGGGCUGUGCCCCAGGCUUCACAGUUGAAGGCACUGAAAUGAAGUUACUUGACCAGAGUCGUGCACUGAGGGGCGAGGGAAGGGGGUGGGAGACAUAGUGUGUGCCCUGGGGACAGAGAGCCCUGAACACCUGAGUCCUCUGGAUUAUGCCCAGGACUCCUGAGCCGGGAGAGCUGCCCUCACAAAGCGCCGCAUUUCCAAGGUGCUGCAGGGAGCUAGGUGAUGUCCUGGGGGAGGUGCCUGGGCCAGGAGAAGGGCACAUCCCUGACCCAGCCUCCUGCCCUGUGUUUUUAUCCCUGAGCCUAAGCUGUGCAGUUUUCUGAAAAGCCCGUUGAAGAACCAGCCCCGGCCCUUAUCCUCAGCAUCUCCACACUCUCAGCUGCCCCAGGUGCACAUCCCAAUGGACAGGUGAUACCUGACAGCCCAGAGAUCUGCUCCCAAGUGGCUCCAACCCAGACCUCCCUCUCCACACCAGCUCCUCACAUGGCUCGCGCUAAAGUGAAUUAGUUGGUCUUUAAUGGCCCUGCUCUUAGAUCAACAUCUGGUGUUGCUGAAGGGGGGCAGGUGGAAGGUGCACAGGGGUUAUAGGGGGGCAGAAGCCGUGAAGCUGCCGAGUCCCUGCUGCCUGCUGAUUGGAGUGAUGGACUGAGCAGCUGGACCAAGGCCUGACUGGGAACAGGCAGUGUCUGAGCCAGCUCUGGGCGUGCACCUUCCUAUUCAUGUCCUUUCUUCCCCGAACUCAGUUCCAUCAAACCUCAUCCCUCCCUAGACCCUGCAGGACCAGAGGGCAGAGUCCCCUCUCUUCUUGGAGGGACCUGGCCAUAGCCACAGCCUGAGACCCUCUCUUAGGGCUACCCACAGCCUCUUCCCCUGGCCACCAAAUGUUUACGUUGCUCACCACGUCCCCAGGAAGCCCCCCAGAACAGGGGUCCUGACAUCAUCAACCCUGCAGAAAUGCUGCCCUGAAACCCCAGUUUGCCUCCUCCCUGAAAACCUCUAAAUCCAGGGGCCGGGGCUGGUGUGAGGUUUUGCCGACCUCUCUCAGGAGCUCUGGGGCCGCCGAUCCCCACCCCUCUGCCCUGGCCCCUGCUGUGAGGUCUGUCGCUGGGGCAGGUGGGUUUCCGCCGGGCUGCUUCUUGGGGCAGCUGUGCAGAUCGACUCCAUUUCCUUCCUAAAUAUUUGGUAGAUUCAGAGACAGCUGUCUGGCCUUGAACUUUGCAGGAAGUUUCUUGUUUGUUAGUGGAUGCUUAAUUCACCUGCUGUCCAGUGCACACCUGUUAAGGGAAGGGGUAACAGGGCCUGACUUGUUAGGGACAAGAAGCAAAGCAGCUGCCCCGGGAUUAUGAACACAAUGGGACAAAACUACAUACAUUUGUUUUAUGUAUUUACAAAUUUGAAAAACAGAAUGCACACAAGUUGCUUGUAAUCAUACCUCUUACACACACACACACACACACACACACACAAUGCAUUGAUUUUCCUUCUGCUUUUACAUACAUAGAAGAAAUCAAUAAAAACUUGGCCCCAAAGAUGGGGACCUAACAUAUUAACCUCAAGUCCCCAGGGGUGCAAAGCCAGGAUGGGUAGGCAACCCAGCUUGAGUGUCAAGGAGCCCCAGGACUCCCGUGUCGUCAUCUUUUCCCUAGGAGGCCUGAGGACGAGGCAGGAGGUCAAGGUCACCCCAGAAAUCCAGGCUGCCAGCACUAAAUCUCUGAUCUGAGGCUGCUUCCUGUUGAACUUAGUGGGGUUGGUAGUGCAGCGUUGGGACCUGCAGGGCAAAAACAGUGACAAAUCUCUGGACACCCUUCACAAAGUGUGCAAUGAGAGUGACAGCCCCAGAGCCACAGGCUUGGCCCUACAGGAAGCUACAGUGCUGUCCUCCAAUGAGGGAGCCAGCUGAGGGCUGGGCUCAGAAGCCUUAGAUGCUGACAGGCAAUGGGGCGGCCCUGGUCCCCGAGGCACGUUCUCAGGACAUCCUUGAAGGCCUGCACGGUGUUUGUCUCCCCUUGUUAAUCACAUGCACUGCCUGGUUUUGUUUGCUUUCCCUAUGUGCCAGGAAGAGAGUAGGGAAGCAAUGGGGAGGAUGGACACUGAGUUGCCUUAUUCUCCCUCUACCCACUGCACACUCACAUUUCUGCUUCUUAAUCUUGUUUCCUAUCUCCUCAAGGCUCUGGGUGUAAUUUAUUGCAAGAGAAUUUCUUGACGGCUGGACGGAAGAGAUAAUGGUGCUUGUCUAAAACCACUCAGUGCAGGAAAAAUCCCAUCAGUGGCAUGCCCAGAAAGAAGCAGAGGCCACCGGUGGGGGGGGGCCUGUCCAGCAGCGGGGUACCCAGCUCUUCUGGCCCCUCUGUCCAGCUUCCUGCCUGGGCCCUUCAGGGUUGUUCUGCGUGAUUCAGUAGUGCACCCUUGGGGUUAGAAAUGUGGGAGAGGCGUUUGUAAUGUAAGUAUCGCUGCCUGGAUGAGACUGGCAGCGUCAGGAGGAGCAUGAGGAAAAGUGGGAGGGAGGGACUGGUUGGGGAAGAGCCACUGGGAGGAGCUGGCAAGCCAGGGACAAGGCGGGUACAGGGGAGUGGGGAGGGGACACAACUGACUGGGUUUCGGAACCUCAGACAUCGGCGACAUGAUCCCCUGCAAGGACAGUAGCAGGAGGGCAGACGGGUGGGUGGCCUUGGGAAAGGAAAGGGGAGCAUUAGCACUGGGGCGAGAGCUUGGGGCCCUGUGGCUCCCGGCAGAGGAAAGCCUGACCUUGGACUGCAUUCUGUCCGCAUCUCUGCACUCCUCUCGCAGUGCCUGGGUCCCUUUAACUCUGCAAGGAGCAUAUAGGGGAGGGAUCUCCAGGAGCUCUUUCUGGCCCCCAGAUGCUAUAACUGUGAUGAGGCAGGAAUUUCGGUUCCUCCAAGUAGACAGCCACUGUCCCCCAUCUUCCUAUGCAUGACAGACUCUUACCUUCUCAUCUCCCCCCUCUCCCAAUUACUACCCAUUCCCUUGCUCCUUACUUCCCCGGUCAUAUUGCUCUCCAAUAUGCCACGAUAAGAAGACUGAUCUUGGGGACAAUGUCACCUCCCAUCAAUCAGUUGGUGAUUUAUCCAAUCCAUCCUACCUGUAGAGAACCUUUCACCAGCCUCAGGCUUUGCUGGGCUCUGCAGAGAGGGAAAAGCAACUCCAUACCACAGUGAGUGUCCUGUGUCUGAGAUGUCUUUUAGCUACCCGGGAGAGGUUGAGUCUUCACAAUAACCCCCUUCAAUUUCCUAGCUCAUUGGAGAGGUAACAUAACUCGUCCCAAAUCCCUCAGUCUUCAAAGGAUGCCAAGGGGAUUCCAUAGUAGGUGGGCUUACAACCACAUACAUAAAUGGGACCAGCCAGUGUUUGUACCAAUCCAUAGAAGGAGAGGGAAGGCACUCGGCAGGUCUUGGGGACAGGGAAAAGCUCUGGGCAUGGCUGGGGAUGGAAGAGGGGACAGGGCAGCUCUGUCUGCUAGAACAAAGGGUCUGAGGAGAGCAGAAACCCUCUAGCCCUUGCUGUUGUGGCCUGGUUGAUUCCAGGAGACAAGGUCAGUGGGGAUACGGGGGUCAGCGUGUGCAGCCGGCCCAACAGUCCCUGUCUUGGAAUGCCUGAACCAGGGAUUAAAUGGCCUUGGUGGGUCUUGAGGUGCAGUUGAACAUGGGCUUCUCAAAUAGGAGAAAAUUCAGGUUUUCUUCCCAGUCCCAGGACUUGGGAUUGGGUGGGCAGUGACGGACAGAAAUGUGGUCAAGGUUAUGCUUCCUACUUCUCUUCGACAGCACACGGAGAUUUUUUUUUAACCCCACUCAGCCCUGAGGGCCUUGUAAACCAGGAGUAGACAGUGAGGGCAGAGCACGCAGGAGCUGCUCCAAGGCCUGAGGCUGCAGAGGGAGGAGGGUCCUGGUACGCACUAGGAGAACCUGGUCCCAGGUUCAGGUAGUGUCCACGGAGGAUGGCAUCCCACCGGAUUCCUUCCAUUGUGGGCCAACACCCAGAACUCAACCCAGUUCCCAAGGGGUGCUACCCCACAGGAGCAAAGAAUUUGAAGUUUACUGGGACAGAGCCACAAUCCGGCAUUGUCACCUAGGUCGUCUUGGAAUGCCUGAGCCGGGGGGUGGGGGGUGGGGAGGGAUGGGGCGAAGCCUCGCACACCCAGGACCAGAGGCACCGUACCUCUGACCUUCAUGUCAUGCAGACACGAACAGAACAAAUCACGUGUUUCCAUGUGUUUCCUUUUUCUUUCUGAUGUCACCCUGCCUCUCCCUCGGUCUCCAGAGAAGCAGGUGUAACUCAGCUGUUCCCAGGCACCCUCUCCCAUCGGGUCCCACCUUGGGGAGUUGCUACAAGCCUGCAGUGUCUUCAUCGGCUCUGUUUGACUCGCACGUCUGGGGGAGGAGCCGCUCUGUAGUGACCAAGCAUGAACAAGGAAGCUGUUUGACAGAGGGGCUCCCCAUGCCUGCUCCUGAGGCUGUACUUUUCUUCUGGGUUCUCCGGCCCUUAUCCGAGGCUCUUGGAUGCUAGAGGCCUUCAAUGAGACAUUGGUCCGAGUUGCAAAGUGUCCAAUGGGAGGAUUUCCCCCGUUUCGUCUUCCCAUUUCCCCCAUUUUUGCUGGGCCAUCACUGCUCUUAUCAACCUGGAAGCCCAGCUGUGACUGAAAUCACGUUGAGCUACGUGAGUUCAUCCAACAGCCCUUGGGCUGGGUUAUGGUCAAAGGCCCCAGGCAGGGUGCUUGCUCUGUUAGGGCAGAAGUGUUCUCUCCAGUUGUCAAAAAGAAGGCGGCCAGUGGCACAUAUCUCUAUGGAGCACUUGAGGUGCUGUGUGACCAAGGGCUUGCAUGUUUAACUUCAAUGAAUUAAUCAGUUACAAACAGAUGCAUCCCAGUGGAGCCUGGGGCACUGGCUAGUGUAGAGCUAGGUCCACAGAGGAAGGACACAUGGCUUUUCUCCUCCAGUUUUUCUCUGCAGAGCAGCUUGCUGGCCUGUUUGACUGCUUAUUUCCAGGCGCUCCCCAGGCCCAUGCCUGAGGGUCAGGCACCACGUGACGCUGGGGAACUCUGGGACAGGGGUCAGUAUCCAGGCCCAGAGGAAGUCUCAGCAGGGCCAAGUGUAUAGAGGGGUGAUGAGCAGGGCCUGGAAAAUCCUGCCUAGAUCCCGUCAGAGCAGUGGAAACGGGGGGCAGGGGCAUGGUGCUGUCUUUAGGGGCCCACCUGCCUCAGACCCAUCCCCCAUCCCCUGGAAGUUUCUAGAGAAAUGAAUAAAACCUGGCUGUCAUGUCCUUGGGUCGUCCAAGGGAGCAGCGAGGCCACGUGGACUGUGAGCUCAGACCCUGUCUGGGUGCUGAGCUCAGCCUGUGCUGGAGCCCCGCCCGCCCACCUGCCCUGCUCCUGGGAUGCGACACACUGCACGGGCCAGACAGCUGCUGGCCGGCGGCAUCUACACAAGCACGGGUUGUCAGGUGAAAGAGAAAAGCCUGGCCCUGUCCCAUCCCCAGGGAGAACAGACCUGGAACCCGCCCCUCGGUCCCUGCUGAUCUAUGAGACCUAAGGCCCAGCCCGUGCCGCUGAGUCCGGUCUUCUCCCAGGAGUCCACUGGGCAGCUGUCUGCACUACGGCCCUCAUGAGCAGGAAGCAGUUACAGAAGAGAGGAUUCGACGGCCAUCAGCUCCCUUUAGGGUUAAGGGGAUGGAGUCUCUGAGGGGGGAAUGAAGUAGGCAGGUGUACUCUAGUAGGCCAGACCUACGAGAUGAGCCCCUGGAAAAUCCAGGUGCCGAAUGGUUUACUGAUGGCAGCAGCUGUGUGAAGGAAGGAGUUAGAAAGGCAGGCUAUGCCGUAGUGAUCCUACUCAGACAAUAGAAGCCCAAGCGCUGCCACACAAUACUUCAGCCCAAAAGGCGGAGCUUAUGCAUUGACUAGGGCUUUACAGCUGGGAAAAGGCCAGCGAGUUAAAAUAUAUACGGGUUCCAGAGAUGCUUUCCUUGCGUUACAUGCACACGCAGCAAGCUGGAAAGAGGGGGGCUUACUGACUGCAAAGAAUUCCCCUAUUAAAUAUGGAAAAGAGAUACUGGCUCUACUUCAGGCAGUACUGGAGCCUUUAGAAGUGCAAGGGACAUCAGAAGGGAGAUAAUUUUUAACCAGGGAAAUGCGCCAGCAGAUAGAGUGGCAAAAAGAGUGGCUACACAGGAGAGUUUGGAAAUGGCUCUUAUACCUCAGUCUGUGGAAGUGGCUAAGGAACCGAGAUACACAACUCUACCCACUUGGGAAGAGAUGCCCUAGUACAACUGGUCUCCCAAGCUUUUGGAGGAAAGGGACUAAAUACGGUUUUCCCCAGGCCAUAGCAGAAAGCUGGAUAGGAAGUGGAGCAGCUGAGACUCGAACCAAUGCCUAUAUGGGAUGCUGGCACUGCAGGGGGUGGCUUUACCCACUAUGCCACAGUUCCAGCCCCUCAAGUUCAUUUUUUAAGGAUUUAUUUAUUUAUUUGAAAGUGAGAGUUACAUACAGAGAGAAGGAGAGGCAGAGAGAAAGGUCUUUCAUCUGCUGGUUCACUCUCCAGUGGAGUGAACGCAACAGUCAGAGCUGAGCCGAUUCAAAGCCAGAAUCCAGGAGCCACGAGCCACGAGCUUCUUCCAGGUCUCCCACACGGGGCCAGAGGCCCAAGGACUUGGCCAUCUUCCACUGCUUUUCACGCUAUGGCAGAGAGCUGGAUCCAAAGUAGAGCAGCCGGGACUCAAAGCGGUGCCCAUAUGUGAUGCCGGCACUGCAGGGGGCAGCUUUACCAGCUACACCACAGCACCGACCCAGUGAAUACAUUGUUAAAGACAAAAAUUUUAAAGGAAAUGAGUGAAUGAAAACACAAUGAGACUAAGAGAGAAGACUUCUCCCAUUUUCAUGAUCAGCUCAAGGCUUAGACAGGUGGGUGGAGCUCUGAAGACUCCUGACACUGCUACAGCCUCCCUUUGGGGGACUCCGUUGUGUGGAGUCCUUUGUCCCUGCUGUGUCGUGGGGCCAGUAAGGAAAGUAAAGCUGAGCCCCAGUUGCACAAGUUCUUCAGUGACCAAGAAUGGAGAGGCGGGACCUCACUCAGGAAUGAACUUCUCAGCCUGUUGGGGGCUGGGGAGUCACAGGGCAACAGGGAUGCUAAUACGUGGGAGGAAUAUUCAUGAAGCGCCUAGGAAAAGGGGUCCCCCUCCCAGUGUCUUCAGUUGUUACGGUAAUUGCCCACUGUCUUGGCAAGGGUGGGAGUGUCACUUGACAUGGAAAUUAGUUUUGGAAGGAGCCAAUUUGGGUAGCUGGUGCUGGUUGGUCAGUCCCUCUGGUUCUCACAGAGAAAUGGUGUUAGGGUGGGGUAGAGAUAUAACUAGGCCAGGCAUUGCCCUAGAUAAUGAAAAGUCCCUUUUGUAUUUUUGCUCCUGUCUGGAGGGGUGCUGGGGUGUGUGUGAAAGUCUGUCUUCUAUAACUUCUUCAACCUGAAUUUGGAUGUUAGAGGAAAGAUAUCUGUCUCUGGCUGGCUCUCACAUAAAUCUGGCUAUCACCUGGCUGGAGCCCAGCUGCUCAUAACCCCUGAGUAACCACCGGGCAUCAUUUUAUAGCCUCAGUUUGUUUGGACACCCAUGAGAUCAGGCAGUGUAGCAGAGAGCUCACCCCACCCUCUACCCCAAAUCAAAAGGAGCAAGACAGCUGCCAAGGGGCCCAGGAAGGGCAAGACCCCGGCAAGUGCAGGGCCUUGCUGCUUUGUGGUGUCCCUUGGGCCCAGGAGUCAGUGUCCUCUCACUCAGACAGGUGUAGCCAUCUGGCUUGGUUGUAUGUUUAUCUGACAUCCUCUUCCAUUAGCCUUGGACUGUUUACCCAAGCACAACCAGAUGAGUUGGUAUCAAGUACGAUAUUGGACAAGGAGUCUAAAGAGCCCCAUAGGGCGGGCAAGCACAUCACCAAGAUUACAGGUCUUGUUGCCGAGGGUAGCCCGGUGCUAGGGAAACCCCAGUCUGGGGGCUGGGAGACCUCCCGCAGUUCCAGCUGUCCAGAGAAAGUGCAAGUGCCCUCUUGCCUCUCUGCAGGGAGGUGUAGGACCAUCCUGGCUGUUUAGUAUGAUCUCCCUUUAGUAGGGCCAGCCAGGAGAAUGUCAUCUACGUCAUCUAUUUGUUGGACCACAGUCCCCCGAGGACCACGUCCCCAAGGUCUGUGGCCAAAGCCGCCCAGAAUAUGGUGGGCGAGCCUUUGACUUGGAGAAGAACUGUCCAACAUUUCCCUUGCCUCCUGUGUUACAGUCUUGUCGACUGUUGCAGAUCAGAUGGCAGCAAAGAUUCCUUGGGGAACUCCCCAGAAUGCUGUGCGGCAGCCCGCGUGCGGAGUAUGGAUACCAGUGGUUGCUCCCUGGCUCACCUUCGUGGGCCCCCGGGGUGAGACUCCUGCUCUGGAGGGGAGCCAGCGGCCCCUCUCUUAUCCUUUGCAGGAGUUCAAGGUUGGAAACUCUGUACUUUGGAAGGGAUGGAGGGCCUAGGGCUGGGUAGCCCUCCCGCAUAGGGGCCUGGUCUCGGAAUGGGGGUGUCCCAGUCCUGCUCAUCCUUGGGAUCUUUUCCUCAGCACAGGGAGUCCCAUUUUCAGUUUUUAAAUGCCAAACCUUUUGCUUAAAAUGCUUUUAAAAAAGGUGACAUAAUGAUGGCAGGUAACGAAUUGUAGUUUGGAUUUUUCAGCCACGGUGCUUUAGUGCGGUUCUGUCUGAUGGAUGUUCCCCCGACAAGGAGAGACAAAGCUCCCUUGUGCCCUCACUUCUACCCGAAAUUCACACCUGAGCCCUACCCCACGCCGCACACCCUGUCCUUCCUUAGGAAAUGAGAGUCAGGGGACCCGCCUGCAGUGCCCAGGGCAGUUCAUGGCAAGAGGCAGGCUGCAGAGAGUGGCGGCCCUGGGUUGAAGUCAUGGACGGGGUUCCGUGGCUUGGGUGUGCAGCAGCCAGCUGACCUGUGGGUGCCGUGGUCUGCAGGCUGCUGACUCAGCCCGUGUUUGCCUUCUUCCCGGAGGGCACCUGAGGCUUGGGUGUCCGGGAAGGAGCAGGUGCCCUGCAGGCUUCCUAAGAAUCUCCGGUAGUGCAGCCCCGCUCUGCUCUGAAGCCCAGGGGCUCACUCGCCCUUCCAGUUCACGGGUCUGCUCUGUUCCUGAUGGCCCCACCCCUCAGCGCCCGGCUCUGGGCACAAGUCCCGGGGGAGGACCUCCACCUGGGGGCCGCAGCGGACCGAGUCUGAGACGGUGGGACUCACAGCUGGCGGCAGGCACUGGGCCCGGUGCUGGCAGCGGUGGUGGACUGGACGGCGGGCCUGGGCUUGGCUUUAGCAUGCCUGGGAAUACAGGUCCCGGGACACCCAAGAGAAGGGCCUCGAAGGAGAGUGGGCUGGGGCAGCAGGUGCCGGGACAGAGAGGGAAGACGAGGCUCUACCCACAGCUGGAGACCCCGGCCAGCAGCAGGUGGCUUCUAGCUCCAGUCCCCCCGGGGGCCAUGGGGUGGUCCGAGGGAGGUGGUCGGGAUCUCUGAUCUGCAGCAUGUUGGAAAGGCUGCUGUGGGAUUCGACGGCUGGCUGAGCUGGAGGCCCCCAACCACAGGGCCCGGCCCGGAACACCGCCUUUCCCAGGAUGCCUUACUUCCCCCUGGGACCUGGGGAGGGGGAAAUUGGGCUCCACGUGGAAUUUCACGGAGGUGUCAUCAACUUCUCAGGAGACCCCACUACCCAUAAAAGGAGGCGCUCGCUCUCUUCCAUGGGAGACAGAAGGAGAACAGGUGUGGAGGGCGCCCCCUCCCUCCACUUCCCCACCGCUAGCCCGUGUGUGUGUGUGUGUGUGUGUGUGUGUGUGUGUGUUUGCGUGUUUGCUUUCUUACCUUCUAUAUAAACUCUAUCCCUGUGCACCGUGUAUGUGCCUGACUUGAAAGGCAAGGACCCGGAUUACCAUGAAGCCCCACUUCUCCCACCUGGAGGCCACUGCCCUGCCCUGCACCACGGACAUCAUGGAAACACCACGGAGAGUGAGGGCAGGGAUAAAGACGGGAAACGCCAGAGGGCCGGGCACGGCCCCAGUCAGCCGGGGAGGCGUCUUCUCCCCAGACACAGCCUGGCUGAUUCUCUAUUCUGAGGAUUUGCACGAAUCUGUGAGGCUUUGACAAAUCAAAGUAGGAGCAGGCGUUUAGCCCAGAUGCCUGUCUGCACCGGAGUGCCGGGUUUGGUUCCUGGCUCCCGCUCCUGAUCCCAGCUGCUGCUGGUGCAGACCUGGGAGGCAGUGGUGGUGGCUUGGAUGGCUGGGUUCCCAACACCCAUAUGGCAGACCUGCAUGGAGACCCUGUUAUUGGCCCAAAUGAGGCUGCUCGCCGCUCCAAAGCCAGCUGAGGCAAGGGAACAGGUUUAUUCAAGAAGCCGGCACCCCUGGGGGCAGGCGGACUUCUUUAGUCCAAAUAUUUGCUCUUCCCUGAUUGCAAGCCAGCAGGGGGACUGUGCAAAGGAGAGGGGAGGUGGGAAUCCGGAGAAUGAAGACAGGCGGCUGUGCGCCUGGCUCUGGGCUCUGGCUGGGCAGAGGGGCUGGUUGGAGUCACGUGGGUUCCUUCCUAGCUGCAGUCACCGGUCUGGCCCUCCGGAUGCCUGACCACGGAGGGCCAGAGUGCUUGGCAGCGUCUGGGAUUCUCAAGCCAGCAUUGUUGUCUGUUGAAUUGAAUAGGCUCGAAUUAGUCACAAGCUCGUCGUGAGCUUUUUUUUUUAAUUUUUAAUUUUAUUUAUUUAUUUUUGACAGGCAUAGUUAGACACUGAUAGAGACAGAGAGAAAGGUCUUCCUUUUUCCGUUGGUUCACCCCCCACGUGGCCACUAUGGCCAGCGCAUUGUGGCUGGUGCGCUGCGCCAAUCCGAAGCCAGGAGCCAGGUGCUUCCUCCAGGUCUCCCAUGCUGGUGCAGGGUCCAAGGACCUGGGCCAUCCUCCACUGCACUCCUGGGCCACAGCAGAGAGCUGGACUGGAAGAGGAGCAACCGGGACAGAAUCCGGUGCCCCAACUGGGACUAGAACCCGGUGUGCUGGUGCUGCAGGCGGAGGAUUAGCCUAGUGAGCUGCUGCGCCGGUCUCGUCGUGAGCUUUUGUUAACUAGAACACGGAAAGACGAAGGGAGAGGAGUUCGGGACCCCUGCAGCCCUGGAUCCUGGCCUCUGCAAGGCCCAGUCCUGACUGGCACAGCCAUCUGGGGAGUGACCCGGUGGAAAAGAGUGCUCUCGCUCGCUCUCUUCUCAAUUUUUUAAAAAUUAAAUUAAGAAAUGGGGGAAAAAGUUAAUGCGAUUUAUCUACUUUUAAAAUGCAUUUUCCAUAGGUUGCCAUGUAUUUUGCUUGUUUUAUUAUAUAAUUGUUUUAUUAUAUAAUGCCCUCAAUAAAGGGAUAACAGCUAUUUCAUUGCCCCCCAAAAAAUCAGUGUAGAAUUAAAUACUUAAAUUCUCAUUGAAGGUGGAAAUGAACAUAAAGGUGGCUUUUCAGAGAAAAGCUGAGAUAAUGAAAGGAACAGGGAGAAGGUUUUCAGCCUCAGAGGUCGAAAGGCUCAGCCAAUAUUGGUGGACAGCGCCCACCAAUAAAAUAGUAAUGUUUUUUCCAAUGGGGAAUAAAAUAUGAGACAGAAGCCACAUUGGGGGCCGGGGGUGGGGUCAGGGGCAAACGUCCUCAUUUUGUGUGGAGUGAGAUUUUUUCCCGUUGUCAUCCUGUGUUAAAAUUGCAAGGGCAACUUCAGUCGCGGCAGCCGCGGCAGAGGGCGCGAAUCCCAGAGCACAGCUUUUAAAACGCGGGAAAGAAUAAUCUCCGGGAUUCCGUGCCAGGGAAGAACGCCCGGGGAGAAGGCGGCGGGGCGGGCGGGGGGAGCCGGGGGGCCCUCACGGCUGCAAUGGGCUGCGCGGGGGAGUGUAGAUCCCCGUUGCCUGGGCUACAGGAGGCGUCCCGGGACGGGAGCGCACACAGGCCGCGCGCGCUCUCAGGACGCGGGACCUGCUCCACGGCGGCCAGGCACCCGCCUCGGGCUGUAGCAAAUUGCUCAGUUGGAAAAAUUCUGGCUGCCGGCUCCAGCCCUGCCCAGCCCAGUGACCCUGGGGAUGGCAGCGGCACAGCCCGCGGGGCUGGGGUGGGGGGGUGGGGGAGAGAGAAGGGAGGCGGCGGGCACGGCACGCCCCCAGAUUUCCUGGGCCGCCCUGGAGCUUGGGUGCCUGAGCCAGAUCUCCCACUGCACCGCGUGGCCUCGCAGGGCGCCAGGCCCGCAGGCGAGGCACAGAUCGCGGGAAGAACCCGGACCGCAUCUGGCGCAGCUGGACUCCCACGUGUUUUUCCAGCUCGGUUCCGGACCGGGAGGAGAUGCAGGGGCAGCGGCUCUCGGCCUUGGCUUGGGUGCGGAGCUCGGUGGGGGCAGGGGCUGGGGGCAGCAGCGCCUCAGCGAGGGUAUUGGGGAGGGUGCAUCUCCAGACAGCGGCUGGAAAGGAGGAGGGGAGAGGACUGGAAGGGAAAUGCACCCCGCCAGAGUUGCUCCAGCACCCCAGGCUACUCAGUCAGGAGAGCAGGGAGUCCAGCUUCCAGCCAUGACCUCCAGCCGCAUGGCUGUGGACAAGCCCCUGCCUCUCUCCAUGCCUCCCUACCUGUGCUGCCGGGCUGUGGAGCACACAGGUGGCCCCAGAGCGUGGCUGUGAAAUGGGGGAAGUGUGGAGCAUACAGUAAGUGCUCCGGUCGCCGCUGGCUCUCAGAACUGUUGCAGUCCAGUCCAGUACCUGCCUCCUACAGAUGGGGAAACUGAGGCUCAUAGAGGGGCGGUGAGUGGCACGAGACCACAGAACCUCUAUCUUGCUGGUUCCAGCUGGGUCCUUGGCCGUUUUCUCUGUUCAACCCUCCGGCAGCGACUGGGUGGAGGCUACUGGGUAGACCAGGCAGGGGUCUCCUCUGGGUUGGGGGGGUGGGUGGCGAGUGGUGGGGACAGCUUCCUGUGCUGAGGGUAGUGCCAGGUACUUUACCUUACAUCCUGAAAAGGCUUUGAAAGCAGUGUCCCUAUCACCUCCAGCUCUGACAGAAGACAAGAGGAGGCUCAGAGAUAGGGUCACUUGCUCAGAGACACACAGUGGAGGGAGAGGCUUUGUCUAGGACGGAGCCAGGGGCCAUUCUGGGGAACUAGGUCCCAAGGCCAGCGCAUGGUGGGCCUGGGAGUCUUUUCCAUCCUCAGGAGGGUCACCUAUGAUUGUCCUCUUCUACCUGUUGGAAGAAGCCUCACUGGCGCGUGUUCAGCCCCCAGGUGCAGCCGACAGGCGCCCAGAUCUCCCUGCAGGGGGCGGCAGCUCGGCAGCGCUGCAUGCUCUUUGCCCGUCCCCUGCCCUGGGCACCUGCCCACCUACCACACUCCUCUUGGUGCCCUUGGGGCCUCAGGCAGAGCCCACCCGUCUUUCUUGGAUUUUUUGGGACAGCUCUCGUCCCUGGGUCCUGGCCCGGAGCCAUGGCACCAGUCCCUUCAUGCACAGGGUUCUGUCCCAGCAGGGAGGUGGCCGCUGUCUGCCCUCCGGAGCUCUCCGGCCUGCAGUGCGAAGGUCCUGGCAGCGAGUCGUGCCUGCCUGCUGGCUUCAGUUGCAUGGUCUUUCUUCCCACUAGGGGAGCCAAGGAGGCGCCGAGGUCUGAUUCCCCCAGAGAGGAUCAGCCGAUGGGCCACCAGGGGAUUCUGCCUUCCUCCUGUCCAUCGGACCACAGAUCCCGGGCCCAGCUGUCCUGGACCUGUGUUCUCAGUACCUCUGGCCACUUGCCCUGUCCCUCCCUGGCCCUGGGUUUCCUCAUCUCUGCCUUCAGGGGUGGGGCGGGGACUGACACCUGACACCAGCCUCUGCCCCAGCCAGCCAGCCCCCUCCCCUCCCCAACCACAGUCCCUGAGCGCCCUCUGGUGGUGCAGAGGGUGGCUGAUUCCUACAGGAACACCCCCAGGGAGGGGCUGUUACCCUGACUCAAUGAUAGGAAAAUUGAGCUAUCGAGGAAUAGGUUAGAGUUGCAGAAAUGAGACUGCCCCCCCAUUAUGCUCCUCCCACCAAGAAUGCAGAUCAUUUUUGGGAACCCCACAAGGUCUGGCUUCUCAGAGGGAGAAGCCAGGGGCCUCACUCUUCUUGUCUGAAGCCACCCCUCAGCCCUCUGCAGGGCCCUUGGGACUCCCUGGGGCACAUCCUGGGCCCCGGGGGUGGGGGUAGGGUGGGGUGAGAGCAGGGUGGCGGGGGGGGGCAGUCCCUGUGCUCACUGCAGCCAUGGUGCAGCUUCAUGCCUUGAGCCAAAGCUAGUGCGCCCCUCACGAAGCCCAGAGGGGACCCCCGACAUGGAAGUCAAAGAGCGAGGUGAAGGCCUGGGGGUCCCGUGGGGGAGCUGGGGGGCAGAACACUGCAAAGGCCCUGAGGUGGGAGUGAGCUCUCAGCCUAGCAGGAAGAGAGGCAGGCGUGCUGGGCAGGGCCUUGUAGGCCAUCGUCAGGUGUCUGCACUUGAUUCUGAGGGAGCUGGGGGAUUGGAGGCUGUGGGAGGGCGUGGUCAGCUUUUCCCCAGAACAUGUCCAUCACCACAGAAAGUUCUAGAGACAGCGCUGCGUUAGAGAGAUCCAGUACUUCUGAGGCCAGCAAGGAUGGGUUCAGGGGCUCUGGGAGAGCUGCUCAAGCCCAGCGGCCAGCCGGAGGCCCAGAAAUAGCUGCUCAUCAUCACUAGGGCGGCCUCUCCAGAAAGCGCACCUGCACGUAGCCGCCUUCCACCCCGAUCCACGGCCGACCGCGGUGGACAAGAGAGGACGGCAGCAGUGACAAGCCUGACUCUCAAGGCGACGUCACAGAAGGCGUCGCAGCUGCUUCUUGGGUCUCGGGAACUGGACUCCCAAGGGCGGAAGUUUAGGUUGUUGGUGGUGCAGGUCUCUUCUUCACUCAUAUAGACAUUCAGUGCCAGAAAUGUCCCACUACGCUCUGCUCUCAUUGGAUUGUACACAGCUUGUUCGGCUGUACGUUCAUUAUCAUCUGGUGGAGAAUAUUUUAAGUGUCUUUUAAGUCUUUUUUUUUUGUAUUUUUUCCUUUUUUUAAAUUUUAUUUAAGUUAUACAGGCUUCAUGUAUGUCAUGUAUACAGAUUUAGGGACAUUGUGAUACUUCCCACCCCACCCUCCCUCCCACACACGCUCCAACUCUUCUUCCUCCUCCCUCUCCCACUCCCACUCUUAGUUUUUACGAAGAUCUACUUUCGGUUUACUUAAUGAUUGUAAAGUUAACCCAGCACUAAGUAAAAGAGUUCAACAAAGAGUGUGAAGAAUAAAAACACUGUUCUUCAACGCAGAGACAAGGGCUGUAAACAAUCACUCAAAAUCUCAAAAUGUCCUUUUCACUCCAAUACAUUCCAUCGUUGCGUUUCAGGUACUCUAUUAGCUACCUCGGAUCAGGGAAAACGUAUGCUAUCUGUCUUUUUGGGACUGGCUUAUUUCAUUAAGUGUAAUGGUUUCCAGUUCCUUCCAUCUUGUUGCAAAAACAGGUUUUUUUUUUUUUUUUCAAAAAAAAAUUUGUUGGUUAAUCUCAGAAUAUUUAGGGAUUUUCCAGCUACCUUUAUGGUUUUGUUUUAGACUUUAAAAGUCCAUUUUAAAAAAGUAUCUAUUUGAAAAGCAGAAUGACAAAGAGGGAGAGACUGGCAGCGAGAGAGAUCUUUCAUUUGCUGGUUUGCUCUCCAAAUGCCUGCAACAGCCAGGACUGGGCCAGCUUGAAGCCAGAAGCCCGGAACUCUGUCCAGGUCUCCCAGGUGGGUGACAGGGACCCAGGUACUUGAGCCAUCACCUGCUGCCUCCCAAGGUGAGCAUUAGCAAGAAGGUGACAUGGAGCGUGGAGGCCAGGACUUGAACCCAGCUCUCCCUGAUAGGAGAUGCGGUGUCCCAGGUGGGGCUGCCCAGUCCCUUUCCCCUUUACUUUUGAAGGAUCAUUUCAGUGGACACAGAACUCUCGGAUGUUGAAAAAGCCUUUUUCCCUUUUCGCACUAGACUAUUUCUCUCCACUCUCUUGCUGGCUGCACACGUUUUCUACAGGGACGUCGGAUGGGAGGGGUCUGUUAGGGUGACUGUCCAGCCUCCAGCUUCCCUGAAGGUUUUCUCCUUGCCUUUGAUUUUCUGAAGUUUGAAUAUGCUAAACCAGGGAGUUAAUUUCCUGGUCUUUGCCCUGUUUGGUAUUCUCUUGAGAUUCCGAUCUGUGCUUUGGUGUAUGUCAAAGAAAAUUUCUCAGCCAUUAUCACUUCCAAAUGCAUCCCCAUUCUAUGCCCAUUUUGGAAAAUGGAAGAAAUGUUCUCAGGACAUCCUUGUGCUUUUUUUUUUUUCUUUAAGGAAAAUAACACAAAUUGCUCCAGGAUAGGAUAGCCCAGGAUCUUCGUCGCGCUGGGUUACAGGGCAGAAGUGUUUCCUUUCCGAUUCUCCUUGCUCCAGGAGAUUCGACAUCAGGCUCAUAUUCUGUGGAUGAUAUGAGCAUAAAGGUGAUUGACUAAAAUUUAGGUUAAAAAAAAAGCCAGAAAAGAAACUGCUACAUUAAAAGGACUGGCUAUAUUUUCAGUAUUUCUUCCUGGUGUGCACAAGGGAUGACCCAGGCCGGCGAGGAGGCAAGAAACAGCAGCUCCAACAGCGAGAGUGAAUCUUUCUGUCUACUCUGCCACCCUCCUCCCCCAGGGCCCACUUGAUCCUGGGCUCCCAAGCACAUCCUUUACACGCAGGGUGCCAGUCCUGGGCUCGCUCUUCCCGUUGCGUCUGACCUCUUCCGCUGGUUCUUAACAGAAGCCAGUGCUUCCUCACACUGACUCUACAGAGCACAGGCACACAAGAGCCAGCUUUUAUUAUAUGUGAUGGACGGGACCUACCAGGGUUCUGGGCGGUACCUAGGGAGGAGGGGGUGUCCCACCGCGGGCCUGGGGGGAGACGGGGGCAAGGACUUCUAUCUACAGUCCUGAGGGCUCCUAUCUACAGUCACCGCCAGCGUUUGACCAGAUGACAUCCUCAAAUGACUCCUCCCUGAGGACAGAGAUGCAGGGAAAAGAGUAACCUGGAAGGCUGUGUCCCAAGCAGGGAUGGUGCCAGAUCAGGACAGGGAGGAACACGCAUGCUGGCUACCCUUCCAGGAGGUUCUUAACCCAGCCCUAGUCUCUUAGUUUUGAGCCCGGGGCGGUGGGGGGACGGACCCACAGGAUGGCCUAGCAGUUCUGUGUGUAGCAGAGCAGAGCCCAAAGGGCAAGCUUCCUGCUCUGAGCCCUGUGGCCACCGUGUUGUGCAGGCCGAUGUUUCUCCCAUAGUGGUGUGCAGCCCUUGAAGUCCCAUUCGUUUUCCUCUGAUGCCAAGGGAUCAAAAAGGUGGAACUCAGAGCCGAGGCUCUCUGUCUGCUCCUAGAACCCUCUGAUGCUACUGCAACCCUCAGCCUCCAGGGGACCCAGCCUAGGCGCCCGGCAUUUAGCAGUCAGUGCUGCCAGAUGUCUGGCUGACGGUUGUUGGCAGCACCUGGCAGUGUCUGUAGCAAAUGCAAAGGAAGCCAGGGGCGCUGGACAUGCCGGGGAGGAACACAGCUGGUGUGGCCUCAAAGCCUGGCCUGGUGGAUGCCCGCAGUGGGUAUAGCAGGUUACGGGCUAGAGAUGGGUGGUGGCUGGAGGGUGAAUGGGCAAUGUCAAGGUUGGAGUGGGGCCACUACACCUGAGGGCAGGCAGGUUGCUGAUGCCUGUGGCUGAGGGGGCCGGGUGUUGGAAGGGACUGGGAAGAGGUGCAGAAGCUCUGAAUGGAGCCACGGGGAGGCUCCACGAGGAGAGGCCAGGAAGGGGGAUGUGGUGUCCAUAGACAGGUCCUUAGAAUCAGCUGGCUGAGGGGCUGUGAUUCCUGGCUGGGGCGCCAGGCAGGCCCAUGGACAGCGGCGGGGGCGCCAGGAUUGCUGGUGGGAGAGGGAGCAGGAGAGGGAACUCCACUCCGGAGGGCAGGGAGAGUCACGGAAGGCAGAGCCAGCGCCUGCAGCAGCUGUGGCUGAGACCCUGGGGGUAGACAAGAUCCUAGUCCUAGUGGUCAUUUAGAGGGGACCACACCGGGAUGGACCACGCCGGGGCUUUGAGAUGAAGGGGUGAAGGUCCACCAUGCCUGCAGGCGCAGAGGAAGCCAAGGCAGGAAUUGCCUUUGGGUACUUAAUGCUUGGUGCCGGGCCCGGAGCAGGAGCGAGUGGGUUGGGAGUUUAGUGUGUCUUGCCGACGAGGGAGAGGGAGCGGUGGUCAGCAAGUUGACUUGAGGGGCUGAGGGCAGGGGUGGUGGAGAGCUGCCUGAAAGGGGCUCUGAGGAGGAAAGGAGGGUCCCCUUAUCAGCUGAGCUUAUUCCUGGACGCUGCAGGCAAUGCAAAGAGACAGCCCGGGGCACCUUGCUUUCUCCCGUGUUUCCUCAGCUGUGUGCUGGUGCUGGGCGCCGGAGGGGCGGUUGGCAGAGGAGUGGUCCCUGCAGCAGGCAUGGACCUGCCUGGGUCACCUGAGGGCUGCCGUGGUUCCCAGAGCCUUGGCCUCACCCCUACAAUGUGCUGUUGAUAUGUUGAGUGCUGGCUCCUUCUCCUGGUGGGGUGGGCAGUGUCUUCCCUGGUGACUUGGGGACCCAGCUCCGGGGUGGUGGCAGCCGCAGAAGGGGACCCUUGCACUUGCAGGUCCUAGAACUGUUGAAAGUGGACCAGAGAUUCCUCAAGGUUGGUGGCUGCCCUGUUGUUGAACCUGCUGCCUGUUCAUGUGGGAUCCCCCUUCCGGGGGCAAACUCUGAAAUGGUGCAGACAGAUGAGGGCCCUGCUGGGUCACUGUCAUAGGGACCUGGGUGCGGUGAGGGGGUAGCAGAGAGCAGGAUGGGGCUGAGCCCUGUCCCUAGGGCAGCGGCAAGGGUCCUCAAGGAGAGGCCGUGGUGGUGCUGAAUUUGGGACAGGGGCCCUCCGAGGAAGGUCUGGUGUUUCUCUAGGAAUCUGCCUUGGAGCUCUGCAGAAGCCAGGGCCUGGGCACGCAGGACGAGAGGCCGCCAUUGCCCGCCAGGGGCCUACAUGCUGGCUGGGCACCCUUACAGCCCUCCUUUCUCCAGGGCUGUAGGGGCUCCCUCCUGCUCAGGCAACCCCUCCCUGCUCUUUCCGGUGGCCCUGGUACUGCUUUCCCUGUGUAGGAGACGUGGGCACGCCUGCGUGUGGUGGACCACAAAGGACUGGCUCCCUGCAUCUGUGCCUGAGAGGACAGUUCUUUGCUGGGCCCUGGCUGAGCUCUGGGACAUGGCAGCCCGACCAGCAGGCAGCAGUUGCUACUGUGCUGCGGGGCUGUGGAUGAGGCCGGCACCGCCAGGAGGGUGCCUGGGGCCUUUGGAAUCAUGAAUAUCAUUUUCAGGAUGCAUGGACACACAGCCCUCCAUGGGCCCUUGGCUCCUUGUGGGACUGUGUGGCAGCUGGGAGACCUGGACCAACUCAGUGGAUGGAACAAGUGGGCUUGGGGGCUGCUGGGCCCUCCCAGGGCUGGGAGCAGGGGUGAGGGACAAAGGGUGCCCAGGCAACUUGCCAUAGUCUCAUCCUGGAUAAAGAGUUGAGCUCUGGGACUUCUGCUUUAGCAGCAAGCUGGGACAAUGGCGGAGCCAAGAUGCUGGGGUGCGACUGUGGCACAUGGCACACAGGAAGGGGGCUGGUAGCAUUUUUUUUAAAAAUUUAUUUGAAAGGUGGAAAGGCAGAGUGACAGAGAUGGGGAGAUAAAGAGAUAUUCCAUCAGCUGGUUCACUCCCCGAAUGGCCACAAUUGCCUAGGUUUAGCCUGGCCAACGCCAGAAGCCUGGAACUCUAUCUGGGUCUCCCCCACGGCAGCAGGGAUCCAAGUAUUUGGGCCAUCAUCUGGUGCCUUCCCAGGUGCAUCAGCUGGGACCUGGAUUGGAAGCAGAGCAACCAGGACUCAAACCGGUGCUCAGAUAUGGGAUGCUGGGGUCCCAAGCAGUGGCUUAACCCGCCACACCACAAGGCAGGACCCCCAGAAACCUUUGCCAUGGAAACCAUUUCCCUGCCCCUCUGAGGCGUACAUUUUUAAAAAAAGAUGUAUUUAUUUAUUUGAAAAGCAGAGGUAGAGAGAGGUCUUCAAUUCACUGGUUCACUCCCCAAAUGGCUGCAACAGCCAAAGCUACCCUGAUCUGAAGCCAGGAGCCAGAAGCUUAUUCCAGGUCUCCCAUGUGGGUGCGGGGGCCCAAGGACUUGGGCUAUCUUCUACUGCUUUCCCAGGUCAUAGCAGAGAGCUGGAUCAGAAGUGGAGCAGCUGGGACUCCAACCAGCACCCACAUGGUAUGCUGGCACUGCCGGCGGCAGCUUUACCCACUAUGCCACAGCACUAGCCCGAGAUGUGCAAUAUAAAGGUCUUCCUCAAAGACGUGAGAGCCACUGCCUUUGGAAGGUUAUCCAGGCAGGUCUCUGGUCUCCCAGUCUCUGUGCAGGGUGAAGGAGCCUGACCCAUCCCCGCAGACAGCAAUUAGCCAUCACAGAGGCCGGGGGCGGAGAGCAGCGCCUGUAGCUCAGGAGUGGCGCAGCGUCUGGACCCUCCCACGGUGGCCCCCAGUUGAAACCCUGCGUGGCUCAAAGUUCGGGCCGCCUUGGUGUAUGGGGGUGUGUGUGUGUUUGGGGGGGAGCGCUGAUUUCCCCCUGCGCCUGCUGUCACUCUGGAAUUCUGUCCUCUCCCUGUUACACUUUGCCCAGGGUGAUGUGAGGGCGGGGUCCUGACCCCACCCAUUGUUACCUUACAAUUUGCCCUGCACUCAGCCUUGGAGUCGGUGAAGGAGCUGUCUCUUCUGUGUUAAAAAAAAAAAAAAAAUUAUAUUCACAUCAGGGAGUUUAAGAGGAGAAAGAUGGGCUGUCCCGUGUAUCCAGAUUUUUCCCACAUUUUUUCCCUCCUCCCCGCCUCGAAGGGCCAAGCCUCCUGCUGUGCUGUUCCCUGAGAAAGUUCCUUUCCCAUCAUGUCGCUGCGUUUGGUUUUCUUCCAUUUGUCACAACGCUUGCUUGUCUUGCUAUUUGUUUUUAUUUCAGUCUUAAGGACCCUUUGGCUGCAUGCAGUAUCCUGAGUUGAAAGUUCUUUCCUUCCCUUAAAGAUGUUAUUGCAAUCACUCUGGCCUUGUGGUAUGUACACACACACACACACACACACACAGGUGCUUCCAAAACUCCUUGCAAAAUGGAAUUAAAAGAUGUUUAUUUGGGUGCAAAAAGUAUCUUUAGUCUACACUUACCAGGAGUACCAGGAGUCUUCAAAAGUUCAUGAAAAACGCACAUCAUGAAAAAGAUGCAUAGGUUUCAAAUGUUUUUUGGUAUGGAAAAUGAAUACCUUUUCUGUUCACUUUUCCACAAAUCUUCUGGAGCACAACCACAGUUACGUGGCUGGGUCCAGGAAGGACCUGGUCGGGCACUGCAUUACCAGCCCACUUUGGCUUCUUUGAUGCAUCCCCACACCACGAAUAGCCCCUGGGUCACAUUUUGAAGACCUAAAAAGGUACAGCAUGGUUUGUACUAACCAUAGCCCAAUGCUCCCCUUAGCUCACUUAUCUUGGCCUAUCGUCCAGGGCCUGGUGUCGUGGCCCUGGCCCUGUCCUGCGUCUGGCCGGGGCAGCCUGGUGUCCUGGGCUGGCCCUGCUGCCUCCCCGGCCUGUGCCCUUCCCACUCCACGAGGCUGUUCCUCCUGCAGGGAGCCCUCCCCAGCCUUCGGACGGUAGCAUGUGCGAGGGGCUUUCUCGUCCCUGCUCCCUCUCCAGGCAGAGCUUCCCCACCCAUCAGCAAGUGCAAGGUCACAAAUAUUAAGAAUUUGUGAUUUUCAGGAGGUCCUUGCUGUGGACGUAUCCAUUAGUUGAGCUGUGAAGAGUAUUUUAUGGACUAUGACAACCAUGGAUGGUUUUAUGUGAAAUUACUACAAAAUGUAAAUUUUAUUAUACCUACAGCUGAUGAUUCUUAUGGAACAGUUAUUCUAAAAAGAUUUAAUUCUUCAAUCACAUCGAUUUCAUUUAAGUCUGGAUUUAAAUUUUUCUCCAUCUUUAUUGAUGCAUAAUUGACAGUAAAAAUUGUAUCUGCUUAGGAAGUACCAACUGAUAUUCUGGUAUAUAUAUACAUAUAUAUAUGCACUGUGAAGUGAUUUCCAGAAUCAAGCUAAUUAACAUACUCAACAGCUCAUGCGCUUAUCCCUUUGUGUGUGGUGAGAACAGCUAAGAUCUAUCCCUUUGCAAACUGCAGGUGUGCAAUGCAGUAUAAUGAACUCUGAUACCCUUGCUCUGUAUUUGAUCGUUAGAGUUUAUUCAUUCUGCGUAACUCAGCAUCUCCCAUUUUGCUAAAUCCCAAGUGCCCAGAAAUAACCGCUCUACUCUGUUUCUAUGAGUUCAAGAGUUUUACAUUCUGUAUCUAAGUGAUUUUGCAUAUCACCUAUCUUUGUAUAUCUGGCCUGUUUCAUCUAAUGUAAUUGAAGUAGCACCUUGACAGUAGGGACUCCAACUGGAGCCCCUGAGACUCCAUUCUGGGAAGGCAGCCCCCCCGCCCCCAUGAGACUAUAAAACUGAAACUAUAAAACUCUGGGAUAAUUGCGGCAAACUGCAUCAACUUGGCAGAGCAGAGAAACCCCCUAGCAUGAUUGCUCAAGCUUGAAAGUAGGCUGCACCUGGGUUAAUGAUAAAGAUGUGAUUUGUCUAUGUCCUACAUACGAUUAAAACCAAUAUUUGGGUUAAUAUCAAGAUUAUGGUAUUGUCAAGAUUGUAAUUGAUAUUUCGCAUAGGUUUUAGGUCACCUUGACCCCAGAAACUAUGUACCCCCCCUUGAUCCUAGCAAGCAUGUAGUCCCCUUCUGAUUUUGUGGUUUUUGCCUGUGCGGGCCAGCCACACCAGUCAAACGGAACCUAAGGGAGAGAGAGGGACUGAAAAGAGGGACAAGAGAUCGCAGAGAAUGGAGCCAAGACAACAAGGCUGAUCAAGGCUCGUUUAUUCCAGUGUCUCGGUGGUAUUUAUACAUAACCAGCACAAAGAAGCACAAAAGAUGACAACAUACGUAAGCAACUUAUUGGGGCUCUGGUAACACAGGUAAUUUUAACAAAGUGUUCUUGAUUAACAUCCUCCUUCAGGAUGGGAGUUUGUGACUUUCUUACCCCAAGAACUCCAUGAGCCAAGACUGGCCUUGAUUUGUCUAAAGGCUAGGCAGCAUUUGCCUUUAUAAACCCUGCUGCUUUGGGCUUUGGGGUUGAGAGUUCUUUAGGGCCUGAGCCCACUCUCAGCUGCCGGCAAUAAAGGACCGGCAAAUUGUAUCAGUGUGUGGUGCUCCUUUGUUUGCACUCACUCAGUACAACAUUGUGGAGGCCCCAGCGAGAGAUGGAGACUUCCUCCGGGAGGACCUCGCUCCGAUCCUUCCAGGUUGGCCACAGGGGAGGCGCCCGCUGAUGAUGUCCCAGGGCCCCAUGUUCUGAUUCAUGGAACCGGGAGGCUCGGCUCGACCUCUUCGCUGACCAAUUGGCCUCAGGUCCUCUGACUUUUAAAGGAGUAUUUCAAUAGAACUCGAGAAAUUCGCAGAUAAAAAGCGGUCACAAGUGUAAAACUGUUCUUGGUAAGAAACGUUAAGAAAGAGUUUUAAAAAAUAGGUUUAAGUUGUAAAAAGAGGUUAAAAAACAAGUUUAAGUUGUAAAAGGUGUGAGAAAAUCACAAAAGGUAAUGAAAGUUUUUCUGGAUACAAAAGCUAUUAAUUAAAAUAUGAUCCUCUGUUAAAACAGUGAGAUUUUUGUCAUACAUAUAUAUUAGUAAAUAUUUUAAAAUAGUCUUUAAAAUCUGUUAAAAAACUACAACAUUUCCUUUUAAUAGUUUUUAUUUAAUUGGUGACUCUGUUUUCUAGCCAGAUCCAGUAAGUUCUCUUCUUUUUUCUAUUUCUGACUCUGUUAAAAUUGUUCCAAGUAAUGGGAUGAUUCCAUGUGCUAACUUAUAUUUAAGGAUUUUAUUUCCCAUUUUAGUGAAACAGAAACAUCAAUUUUGUAUCCUAUUGAUGUUCUAUGUCUCUCCUUAAAUUCUGAUUGUUUAAAAACAGCUGUGUUUUGGUUUGGUUAAAUAUUCUAAAACAUUUAAAUGUUCACUUUGUAACAAUAAAAUCUGGUCUACUCAUACAAAUGUCCAAAAGUUAUAAAAGUCUAAUAGCUUUGUUAUCCGUCACAAUGGUUAUCUUAAUGAACAGAGGCCCAGAAGACUAAAAAGGGAUUAAAAAAAUCUUACAGGUACUUUCUAAAAUACUAUGUGGAGUAAACAAGUGCCUCUUCUUGUUGGUUAAUAAGUUUUAAAAUUUUAACCAUGGCUACUUAAAGCCUUUUGUCAUUCACAGGUUUAUAUUUUCCUCUAAACACUAAAAAUCAACUGCUCAUAAAAAUUAAAACAUUGUUGGUUCUGUGUUCUGUCCUUGUUUAAACCCUGCACAUAUAAUCUGCUUGUUAAACUUGUUCUCUCUCAAUGCAACUCUAGAUGGCCAUGGGCAGCUUCCACGAGCUGUGCUGCCACCCCCUCGAGAGGCCCCCUCCUGUGGGAACCCUGUCUUGACUGCCGUUCUCCACCCCACACCCUAAGGGGCCCCCAGGACAAGGACCCCCUGUCAGCAGGAAGUAGCCAAGAUGAAAUCAACGCUAGAGUCCUCACAAUAGUGGGGUGUGGAUUAAGUGGGGAGUGCUGAGGACGUCCAGUUGGGCUAAGUGUCUGUGGGCCCCUCAGGCUUUAACAAAAUGUCUUAUACAUGCAGGCUGUACGCUGUGACAGAAAAGUUUGCUCUGAGACACGAUCCCACCUUCCUCACUGUGGUAUCCUGUACCCAAAACCACCACCCCCCUGAUAACUCACGGUUUGCUUGCACAACGGGUUUAACUCGCUGUAUGAAGUUGCCUACAACCGAAAAGCCUGUAACCUCUUUCUUACGUGGAUCAGUACAUGCGCUUCUGCAGGUGUAUGCCUAUUCUGGUGCGGAGGGAGGCCUGCUCCUCUCCUAUUCUCUCACUGAGUUAAACCGAGCAAACAGAGCAGCCCCUCUGGCCGUCCCAAUCCUGGUAGGCUUGGUUCUUGCUGAAAGAGCAGCCCUAAGCACUGCUGCACUGAUUCAGGGGGAAGUGGGUCUCACUCAUUUAACUGAGCCCAUGGAUGCAGACUUAGGUCACCUCCAAUGCUCUACUGAACGCCUUCACGACCAGGUCAGUUCUCUCAUGGACAUGGUGCUGCAAAAUAGGAGGGGGCUAGACCUCCGGUUUCUGACUCAAGGUGGCCUGUGUGUGGCCCUGGGAGAGGCUCGCUGUUUCUAUGCUAAUCAAUCAGGAGUUAUAACUGACUCCCACCAAAAGGCAAAACAAAACUUAGAAACUCACCAUAAACAGCACAAAGACUCACAACCAUGGUAUAGUUGUAUGUUUAAUUGGACCCAUGGCUGACCACCCUGUUAACUGGCCUGACAGGACCAUUAGUCGUCCUCCUCCUUGGACUGACUGUAGGACCCUGGCUAGUUAACUGGUUACUAGAUUUCAUUAGACAAAGUAUAGCUUCUGUUAAACUCAUGCAUAUGCAUACCUCUUACUCUGCCCUAAAUAUCCUUUCUGAUCCAUUUGAUGUGGCUGAAUCAAAGAUUUGAUUCAUCUCAAGACACAAAGUGGGGAAUGAAGUAACACCUUGACAGUAGGGACUCCAUUUGGAGCACCUGACUCCACCUCCCCCCAUGAGAUUCUGGUCUGAAACUAGAAAACUCUUGGACAAAAGAGUCGAGAGUUCUUUAGGGCAUGAGCCUGCUCUCCACCGCCAGCAAUAAAGGACCAUCAGGGGCCAGCACUGUGGCAUAGCAGGUUAAAGCUCUGGCCUGAAGCACCGGCAUCCCAUAUGGGCAAUGGUUCUAGUCCAGGCUGCUCCUCUUCCAAUAAGCUCUCUGCUAUGGCCUGGGGAAGCAGUGGAAGAUGGCCCAAAUCUUUGGACCCCUGCACCCACGUGGGAGACUCGGAAGAAGCUCCUGGCUUUGGAUGGGCGCAGCUCCGGCCAUUGCAGCCACCUGAGGAGUGAACCAGUGGAUGGAAGACCUCUCUCUCUGUCUCUACCUCUCUCUGGAACUCUGUCUUUCAAAUAAAUAGAUCUUUAAAAAAAGUAAAGGACCAUCAAAUUUUAUCAAUGUGUGGUACUCCUUUGUUUGCGUUCGCUCAGGUACAACAUAAUGUCCUGUAGGUUCAUAAAUACCGCAGUGGCCAGGGUUUCCUUGUUAAUUUUUUUAAGAUAUGUUUAUUUGAAAGGCGAAGUGAAACACACACACACAUACACACUCACAUACACAUGCACACAGAUCUACCAUCUGCUGGUUCACUUAAGAUUUAUUUAUUUGAAAGAGUUACACAGAGAGAUAAGGAGAGGCAGAGAGAGAGAGAGAGAUUUUCCAUCCACUGGUUCACUCCUGAAUUGGCCUCAAUGACUGGAGCUGCACCAAUUGAAGUCAGGAGCCAGGAGCUUCUUCCAGGUCUCCCACACACUUGGGCCAUCUUCUACUGCUUUCCCAGGCCAUAGCAGAGAGAUGGAUCAGAAGUGAAGCAGCCAGGACUCAAACUGGUGCCCAUAUGGGAUGCUGGCACUGCAGGCGGCAGCUUUACCCUCUAUGCCACAGUGCAGGCCUCUGGUUUACAUUCAAAUGACUGCAACAGCCAGGGCUGAGCCAGGCUGAAGCCAGGAACUAGAACUCAGUCCAAGUCUCCCCAGUGGGUGGCAGAAACUCAAGUACCUGAGCCAUCAUUAUCUGGAUCAGAAGCUGAGUAGCCUGGACUGGAACUGGCAGCCCAUAUGGGAUACAGGGUUCUAAGCAGCAACUUAACCUGCUGCUCCUCAGGCCAGCCCCUCCUCUUUUUUUUUAAAAAAAGCGGAUUAACAUGCCAUUAUCCACUCACCCCUUGACAGAGACUCAGGGUGUUUCUACACCUUGGCUAUUGUAAUAUUGCAGUGAAUAUGGGGGUGCACAUAUUUCUUUGGCAAGCUGAUUUCAUUUCCCUGGAGCGUCCUGAAUGUACCCAGUAGGUGGGAUUGCUGGGUGGUACUCCCAUGGUAGUUUCAUUUUUUACCAUUUGAGGAACCUCAUACGACCUCCACAUGGGAGUGCCUGGGUUUGAGUCCUGGCCUUGCUUCUGGUUCCCGCUGAUGUACGUAUACUCCGGGAAGCCGACGCUGAUGACUCAAGUUCUUGUGGCAUAGUGGGUUAAGCCUCCGCUUACGAUGCUGGCAUCCCAUAUGGGCAUCAGUUCAAGAUCUGGGUGCUCCAUUUGUGAUCCAGCUCCCUGCUAAUGUGCCUGGGAAAGCAGCAGAGGAUGGCCCAAAUGCUUGGGCCCCUGUACCCAUGUGAGAGACCCAGAAGAAGCUCCUGGCUUCAGCUUGGCCCAGCCCCAGCUGUUACGGCCAUUUGGGGAGUGAACCAGCAGAUGGAAGAUUGCUCCCCUCGCUUUCCUCCUCUCUUUGUAACUCUGCCUUUCAAAUUGAAAACAUAGUAAAUCUUUAAAAAUAAAAGUUCUUGGGUCUCUGUCACUAGUUUGGGAUAUCUUGAUUUAAUUCCCAGCUCCUAGCUUCAGCCCUGGUCCAGUCCUGGCCAUUGUGGGCAUUUGGUGAGUGAAGCAGCAGAUGAAAAUUUUCUCUCUCACAAAUGAAAUUAUUAUUUUUUAACAUUCAGGAAAAAUAGAGUUAACAGAUUUAUUGUGGCACUUUUUUUUGAAAUCCAUGCAUUCAAGUGGUUUUCAAAAAGUUCAUGAAAAUAUAUGAGAAAACCAUGCAUGAAUUUCAAAAAAUUCUUGUAUGAAAAUUAUUUAAUUCCAUUUUCCACAAAUGCUUUGAAGCUCCCUUGUAUAAAACCAUGGCAAUUUAAUCUUUUUUAAAAAUAUUUAUUUUAUUUAUUUGAAAGACAGUUAUAGAGAGAGGUAGAAACAGAGGUCUUCCAUCCGCUGGUUCACUCCCCAGAUGGCUGCAACAGCCGGAGCUGAGCCGAUCCGAAGCCAGGAGCCAGGAGUUUCUUCCAGAUCUCCCACAUGGGUGCAGGGGCUCAAGGACUUGGGCCAUCUUCUACUGCUAUCCCAGGCCAUAGCAGAGAGCUGGAUCAGAAGAGGAGCAGCCAGGACUAGAACCGGCUCCCAUAUGGGAUACUGGUGCUUCAGGCCAGGGCUCUGCGCCACAGCGCUGGCCCAGCAAUUUAAUCUUAAUUUCAUAGUAAAGAAAUACCAUACCAUCAAGGUUAAGGAUUUUAUCAAGGUCACUGUCAUCUCUUGGAGAUAAAAGCCCCCUCCCUUCAAUAACCAAAUCAAAGUUGAUGGGAUUAACGGGAAGCUAUCUGGGUGUGGCUAGGGAGGGGCGAGGGCUCCUACGAAUAAAAGGCACGGGUGCCUCCUUUCCCACCAGACCUGAGUCACUGUGGGAGCAGCAGAGGACGAGGUGAACCCAGAGCCCAGCAGGUGAGCCCAUGCCUGUGCCGUGUGUCCGUCUGUCCUCCCUUGUCUGCAGAUGGCAGUCAGCCCAGGGGCUGGGGGGAGUCUGGUGACUGAGGAAUUCAACAAGGGCUGUGAGUGCCCAGCAAGGGUUUGCCAAUCCCUCAGCCCGGAUUCUCCCAGCCCAGGAGUGGUGGGUGGGAGACCCGGUGUUCAGGGCCAAGGCUGCAGACAGGGUGCACUUUUGUUCAUCCAUCAGACGGCUGCUAGGGUCACUCUGGGGACAGCGCGAUGACCUCCUCUGCGGCUUCUCACAUAGAUGCCGCCCUGUGAGGCGUCCAGGCACACAGGUGGUCCCUGCGGCGGGGUCCGGGUGAGCGGGGGCCCUGCCUCCUUCUCAGUGCAAUGCCAGUGACGAUCUGUGACGUCAGCUCUCUGAUGACAGGCAUCAAGGCUGCCGUCUCCUGGUCUUGCUCCAGGGUCACGAUAACUCUGGCUGGACAGCUUGUCACUGCUGUCGGCCAGCAGUCACUCACUCCCGUGUGUGCUUCC